GACGUGACGUUCUAGAGUUUGUAUCCUGGCUCAGGAUGAACGCUGGCGGCGUGCUUAACACAUGCAAGUCGAACGAAGCACUUAGAUCUCUUCGGAGUGAUGAGUGACUGAGUGGCGGACGGGUGAGUAACGCGUGGGUAACCUGCCUCAUACAGGGGGAUAACAGUUAGAAAUGACUGCUAAUACCGCAUAAGACCACAGCACCGCAUGGUGCAGGGGCCAAAGCCGAGACGGUAUGAGAUGGACCCGCGUCUGAUUAGGUAGUUGGUAAGGUAACGGCCUACCAAGCCGACGAUCAGUAGCCGACCUGAGAGGGUGACCGGCCACAUUGGGACUGAGACACGGCCCAA
rnacentral:rRNA from 1 species